rnacentral:rRNA from 1 species
AUUGAACGCUGGCGGCAUGCCUAACACAUGCAAGUCGAACGGCAGCAUGGAUUGUAGCAAUACAAUUUGAUGGCGAGUGGCGGACGGGUGAGUAACGCGUAGGAAUCUGCCUUGAAGAGGGGGACAACCCGAGGAAACUCGGGCUAAUACCGCAUGAUAUCGAGAGAUUAAAGCUGGGGCGACCUGACACUUCAAGAGGAGCCUGCGUCCGAUUAGCUAGUUGGUUAGGUAAAAGCUGACCAAGGCGAUGAUCGGUAACUGGUCUGAGAGGACGACCAGUCACACUGGGACUGAGACACGGCCCAGACUCCUACGGGAGGCAGCAGUGGGGAAUAUUGGACAAUGGGGGCAACCCUGAUCCAGCAAUGCCGCGUGUGUGAAGAAGGCCUUCGGGUUGUAAAGCACUUUAGGUUGGGAAGAAGGUGGUUAUUUUAAGAGAUAGAUCACUUGACGGUACCGACAGAAUAAGCACCGGCUAACUCUGUGCCAGCAGCCGCCGUAA